rnacentral:piRNA from 1 species
UGCAUAAUUGUGUGCUUAUGUAAUGCCUG